rnacentral:lncRNA from 1 species
UGUCUUAAUGGUCUAUAUCUUCAAAUCUUAAUGUGUAGAGGAGAGAGAGUUCUAGAAGAGAGAUAUGAACUAAGAAAUUAGGGAUUUCAAAGCAAAAAGCUGUUCCUACUGUGUGCAGACAUAUCAAUCGGCCGUUCGACUCCACAAAACCAUGAUUCCCGAUCAGUUCCGCCGAGAACACGUCUGUGGCGGCCAGUACGAGUCAACAUAACCACCGUCGCCGUCGUCGUCGAACGGGAGAUUCAUGGCGAAGGAGCCGGCGAGCGAUGUGGAGCCUAUGAACUAAGAAAUUGGGUAUUUCAAAAAAAAUUGAAUUAAAUCAAUCAUGUGGUCUAACAGCUAGCGGGGGUUGUUAUAGAGAGAGAGGGGGAGGGAUAGUUAGAGAGAGAGGCUCCAGC